rnacentral:rRNA from 1 species
GAUGAACGCUAGCUACAGGCUUAACACAUGCAAGUCGAGGGGCAGCAUGACGGAAGCUUGCUUCUGUUGAUGGCGACCGGCGCACGGGUGAGUAACGCGUAUCCAACCUGCCCAUUACCCGGGGAUAACCUUCCGAAAGGGAGCCUAACACCCGAUGUGGUGCGAUGAUGGCAUCAGAGUUGCACUAAAUGUGAAGGUAAUGGAUGGGGAUGCGUCUGAUUAGGCAGCAGGCGGGGUAACGGCCCACCUGGCCGACGAUCAGUAGGGGUUCUGAGAGGAAGGUCCCCCACACUGGUACUGAGACACGGACCAGACUCCUACGGGAGGCAGCAGUGAGGAAUAUUGGUCAAUGGGCGAGAGCCUGAACCAGCCAAGUAGCGUGCAGGAGGACUGCCCUAUGGGUUGUAAACUGCUUUUAUGAGGGGAUAAAGUUCGCCACGUGUGGCGUUUUGCAGGUACCUCAUGAAUAAGGACCGGCUAAUUCCGUGCCAGCAGCCGCGGUAAUACGGAAGGUCCGGGCGUUAUCCGGAUUUAUUGGGUUUAAAGGGAGCGCACGCCGGCUGUCAAGCGUGACGUGAAAUGCCGCGGCUCAACCGUGUGCAGUGCGUCGCGAACUGGCGGCCUUGAGUGAGUUCGACGCCCGCGGAAUUCGUGGUGUAGCGGUGAAUGCUUAGAUAUCACGAAGAACCCCGAUUGCGAAGGCAGCCCGGCGAAGCCCUUUACUGACGCUAAGGCUCGAAAGGUGCGGGGUAUCGGAACAGGAUUAGAUAUAC